UCUCAACUUUUAGCCCAAGCUCUAAGAAACUUGCAUAGGCCCCUACUCGAGCCUGGGUGAGUACCUGUUUUUGUUUUAUUCCUGGCUGCUUGUUAGGCAAAGAGAGAGGAGGCAGAGUACAAGAUGUAAGCUCCUACACCGUUAUUAUUCUGAAAAGUGCUAAUUCUCCACAUUUUUCCCAGAAAUAUCACAUUUAUUUAUGACCAGACAACUUUGUUUAGUAAGGAAAUUAAGGUGUCAGUUGGCUCUGUAGGCACUUGUCCAUCCCAAGGGGAGCUCCAGCAGUGAGUCAGCUUCAGCUUCUUGGCUCAUAGGCAAAUGGACUCAUUGCCUUGUGUCUUGUUGAAGCCAAGCCCAAAUGCCUUGUCCUUCAAGAAGCCAGCUGGCUGCUUCUGAGGCCCACUUUACUUUGUGUUCUCAGGGAUGUGCCGGCUGGGAGCCACGUACAGGGAAGCGCAAGCACAGAAAUGUCUCCCCAGCAUGAGCCUACUGCCUUGGGAUGGCCUGGAGUCUUCUACAAUGCAUUAGUCUCUACAGCCACAGCCAACUUCUUACCACAUCUGAAGAGUUUCAAAAAGGAAACUAGCAAGCCACCAUAGCACUGAGGUAGAACCACAACAAAACCUGGGGCAAUGGCAACUGCACGAAUGUAAGCACUUGUUUUCAUUUUCCUCUCCCUUUUUUGACUGUUGUGGGUUUCAGUGGUGGUUUCAAACUCACUUCUUAGAAGUUUCAUUUUCUUUUCUUUUUGUAGCUUGGAUUUAGAUUAAGUAUAAUGGUAGAGGAGGUAAGGCUUGAAUCAUUUCCAUGCAUCAUCACUGUCUAUAUCUUUUUU
rnacentral:lncRNA from 1 species